rnacentral:rRNA from 1 species
AUUGAACGCUGGCGGCAUGCUUUACACAUGCAAGUCGAACGAUGAAGUCUAGCUUGCUAGACGGAUUAGUGGCGAACGGGUGAGUAAUAUAUCGGAACGUAUCCAUUAAUGGGGGAUAACUAGUCGAAAGAUUGGCUAAUACCGCAUACGUCCUACGGGAGAAAGCUAGGGACCUUCGGGCCUGGCGUUAAUGGAGCGGCCGAUAUCUGCUUAGCUAGUUGGUGAGGUAAAGGCUCACCAAGGCGACGAUCAGUAGCUGGUCUGAGAGGACGACCAGCCAAACUGGAACUGAGACACGGUCCAGACUCCUACGGGAGGCAGCAGUGGGGAAUUUUGGACAAUGGGCGAAAGCCUGAUCCAGCCAUUCCGCGUGAGUGAAGAAGGCCUUCGGGUUGUAAAGCUCUUUCGCAAGGGAAGAAAACUUACCCUCUAACAUAGGGUGAGGCUGACGGUACCUUGAUAAGAAGCACCGGCUAACUACGUGCCAGCCGCCGCAGUAAAAC